rnacentral:rRNA from 1 species
AUUGAACGCUGGCGGCAGGCUUAACACAUGCAAGUCGAGCGGAAACGAAGGUAGCUUGCUACCAGACGUCGAGCGGCGGACGGGUGAGUAAUGCUUAGGAAUCUACCGAGUAGUGGGGGAUAGCCAUUGGAAACGAUGAUUAAUACCGCAUAUAUCCUACGGGGGAAAGCAGGGGACCUUCGGGCCUUGCGCUAUUCGAUGAGCCUGAGUGAGAUUAGCUAGUUGGUGGGGUAAAGGCCUACCAAGGCGACGAUCUCUAGCUGGUCUGAGAGGAUGAUCAGCCACACUGGGACUGAGACACGGCCCAGACUCCUACGGGAGGCAGCAGUGGGGAAUAUUGCACAAUGGACGAAAGUCUGAUGCAGCCAUGCCGCGUGUGUGAAGAAGGCCUUCGGGUUGUAAAGCACUUUCAGCGAGGAGGAAAGGUCAGUAAGUAAUAUUUGCUGGCUGUGACGUUACUCGCAGAAGAAGCACCGGCUAAUUUAGUGCCAGCAGCCGCGGUAAUACUAAAGGUGCAAGCGUUAAUCGGAAUUACUGGGCGUAAAGCGCGCGUAGGUGGUUUGUUAAGUUGGAUGUGAAAGCCCAGGGCUCAACCUUGGAACUGCAUUCAAAACUGACUCACUAGAGUACGAGAGAGGUUAGUGGAAUUUCCUGUGUAGCGGUGAAAUGCGUAGAGAUGGGAAGGAACACCAGUGGCGCGCGACUGACUGGCUCGAU